UACGUAGGGGGCAAGCGUUAUCCGGAUUCAUUGGGCGUAAAGCGCGCGUAGGCGGUCUGUUAGGUCAGGAGUUAAAUCUGGGGGCUCAACCCCUAUCCGCUCCUGAUACCGGCAGGCUUGAGUCUGGUAGGGGAAGAUGGAAUUCCAAGUGUAGCGGUGAAAUGCGCAGAUAUUUGGAAGAACACCGGUGGCGAAGGCGGUCUUCUGGGCCAUGACUGACGCUGAGGCGCGAAAGCUAGGGGAGC
rnacentral:rRNA from 1 species